rnacentral:rRNA from 1 species
CGGACGGGUGAGUAAUGUCUGGGAAACUGCCUGAUGGAGGGGGGUAACUACUGGAAACGGUAGCUAAUACCGCAUAACGUCGCAAGACCAAAGAGGGGGACCUUAGGGCCUCUUGCCAUCGGAUGUGCCCAGAUGGGAUUAGCUAGUAGGUGGGGUAACGGCUCACCUAGGCGACGAUCCCUAGCUGGCCUGAGAGGAUGACCAGCCACACUGGAACUGAGACACGGUCCAG